UUUAUAAGAACUUCAAAUUUGUAAAAUUAUAAUUGAAAAGCAUAAAAAUUAAUUUUUAUUUUCUUUUUUUAUUUAUUUAUUAUACAUAUAUAUAAAAAAAGAGUAUAAAAGUCUUUUGCCACUUAAUAAAGAAUGUAUUUUUGAAAAUGUCUCUUUAGUGGUGGUAAACAUUAAUAAUGGUACCAAGAAAGUGGUAAACAUAAAAAUUUUGUAUGAAAAUUUCUAAAGUAAUUCAUAUUUAUAACCUAAACAAAUCCGCGCUUUCAAAGCGCGGAUCAAAAUCUAGUACACCAUUAAAAUAAGUAAUCCAAACUCUAGAUCAUGAUGCGAACUGAUUAACCCAUUGGAUUUUUUAAAGACUUUUGAGUCUUUUUAUAGUAAAUAGUAAUACUUAACUUUCUUAUAAAAUAACUCCAUUAAAUAGCGAUGUUUUUAAGGGGAAUUGCAUCCUACAUCCAUCAAACAAAUUAUAAUUCAUCCACUAACUAAACGUAACUAAAUUUCUUUCAAUACUUCACCAAAAAAACAAUCAAUUCUAAAGAAGAGACAACGAUGAAGUCAUAGACGAUCCAGUGGUGAAGAACAGACAGCGAUGAAAGCGUAGACGAUCUAGUGGUGAAGAACAACGACGGUGAAUCGGUUAAAACAUCGUGUCGGAAAAAAGAGAGGAGAUAAAGAUGAUCUCUGUAUAUGGUGGUGAACGAAAUGAAUAUGUAUCAGCCUAUCUAAAAGAAAAGAAGAAUUGAAGAAGAUGAAUUCGCCGUCUAUACUAUAUUUGGUGAAAUUAAUAGUAUAGUAUAUAUUUUUAAGUAUAGCUACUUAUGUACAGUUACCAUACUAUUUGAGACAUAUUUCUAUACUACUCCUUAAAAAUGUAAUAAUAUGUCAUGUUUUUAAAUUUGAUAGGUCUCUUCUUUGUCAAUAUGUGUGAUUGAUUGUAAUAUGAAAUUCAUUUUUCCGUGUUGACA